ensembl:snoRNA SNORA70 Small nucleolar RNA SNORA70
UUGUGAAACUGCAGCCAGCCGGGUUCCUUUUCUCAUGGGACCUGGUGGACAAUGACCGCAAACAGCAACCUCACUGGUCGUGUACACAGCCUGUUGCUUGUGCAAGUUGCCCUAAAGGACUCUGGGGCUUUCU